rnacentral:rRNA from 2 species
UCUGACGGAGCAACGCCGCGUGAGUGAGGAAGGCCUUCGGGUCGUAAAGCUCUGUUGUGAGGGAAGAAGCGGUACCGUUCGAAUAGGGCGGUACCUUGACGGUACCUCACCAGAAAGCCACGGCUAACUACGUGCCAGCAGCCGCGGUAAUACGUAGGUGGCAAGCGUUGUCCGGAAUUAUUGGGCGUAAAGCGCGCGCAGGCGGCUUCUUAAGUCUGAUGUGAAAUCUCGGGGCUCAACCCCGAGCGGCCAUUGGAAACUGGGGAGCUUGAGUGCAGAAAAGGAGANUGGAAUUCCACGUGUANCGGUGAAAUGCGUAAAGAUGUGGAGGAACACCANGUGGCGAAGGCUACUCUCUGGGUCUGUANCUGACGCU